GCAACCGCAGCCCAGCCCCAGUCCGGGAGGAAGUUCUGCCGGGCGCUCUCCGCGGGUGCCUCCCUGGUUAUACUGUUAUACAGGAAACCUGGCAGCGCCGGAGCCGCGCGGUCGAGGAGGGAGCGCGGGACGCCGAGCCCACGCAAGCCUGCCGGGACAAGUGGAGACGAGGCCGGCGAGCGGACGCCCCGAGGUCGGCGAAGGAGCUGUGGCCGGGUCCCCUUCUUAUCCAGCCCGAGACAUUGCGCUCCGGUGGGCGUCCCUGCGCUGGGAAUCCCGCUCGGAGUUUUUCCAGGCCCGGCCGGGUUGCGCCGGGAAAGGCCCUGGUGGGGGAGGUGGGCCCGGAGCGGGCAGGUCUGCAAUCCGGUUGGAAGGGCUCGCAGUGGGUGAUUCAGGGUGCAAAUGACCUCCCCGCGAACGGGAACGCCCGCACUAGACAACCAGUCCUAACCCGGCAUUCCCAGAGCCGCGGGCGGGAGGGACGCAGGGACUCCGGGACAGCAAAUCCCCGGGGGAGAAGGGAAGGGGGAAGGCGGGGCAGGGGAGGCCCACCCUCCUUGGGCUCCGCUAGCGACCAGCCAGCGCCCCUUCAGACGCAGCCUUCCUGGCUCCCGGCCCCGGCCUUCUGCUCCAGGCCUCGUCCCAAUGCCCCCCAAGGUCCCCAGCAGAGGCAUUCUGGCUCCUCCUCGCCCCUCCCAGACACAGCUGCUUUGGGUAUGGGUGACAGCACUCCUGAGCGUCCCUGUCCCUAUUCGCUGCCGUUGCCAGCUCCGAUUCCGCUCAACCUCUCGGGCCCCCCGCUGGAAGCCCCGCCCAGGGCGAUGGUAGGGGCCUAACCUGCCGGCUCCGCCCACCCGGCCCUUGGGCUCCCUGAGGCCCGCCCAGCCGACGCUGGAGAGCAAUGGUGUGAUCUCCACACACUGCAAUCUCCACCUCCGGGGUUCAAGUGGUUCUCCUGCCUCAGCCUCCCAAGCAGAUGGGACUACAGGUACUGGUAGUUAACUCUCAAGGAGAAAUUUCACGGUUGAGCACCAAAAAGGAAGUGAUCAUGAAAGGAAAUAUCAACAAUUAUUUUAAAUUGGGUCAAGAAGGGAAGUAUCGCGUCUACCACAAUCAAUACUCCACCAAUUCAUUUGCUUUGAAUAAGCACCAGCACAGAGAAGAUCAUGAUAAGAGAAGGCAUCUUGCACAUAAAUUCUGUCUGACGCCAGCAGGAGAGUUCAAAUGGAACGGUUCUGGCCAUGGGUCCAAAGUUCUUACCAUAUCUACUCUGAGACUGACUAUCACCCAAUUAGAAAACAACAUCCCUUUAUCCUUCCUUCAUCCCAACUGGGCAUCGCAUAGGGCAAAUUGGAUCAAGGCAGUUCAGAUGUGUAGCAAACCCAGAGAAGUUGCUUUGGCUUUAGCCAUUUUGGAGUGUGCAGUUAAACCAGUUGUGAUGCGUUUUGAUGCUACCAAUAUGGCGAGAAUCUUUAGGACAUACCAGCUUUCUCCCUUUGUCUCAUAACCAUGUCCACCAACGAGAAUGCUAAUACACGAGCUGCCCGUCUUCACAGAUUCAAGAACAAGGGAAAGGACAGUACAGAAAUGAGGCGUCGCAGAAUAGAGGUCAACGUGGAGCUGAGGAAAGCUAAGAAGGAUGAACAGAUGCUGAAGAGGAGAAAUGUAAGCUCAUUUCCUGAUGAUGCUACUUCUCCUCUGCAGGAAAACCACAACAACCAGACUCCUGCACUAAGAGCCAUAGGGAAUAUUGUCACUGGUACAGAUGAACAGACUCAGGUUGUGAUUGAUGCAGGAGCACUCGCCAUCUUUCCCAGCCUGCUCACCAACCCCAAAACUAACAUUCAGAAGGAAGCUACAUGGACAAUGUCAAACAUCACAGCUGGCCGCCAGGACCAGAUACAGCAAGUUGUGAAUCAUGGAUUAGUCCCAUUCCUUGUCAGUGUUCUCUCUAAGAUUUUAAGACACAAAAGGAAGCUGUAUGGGCCGUGACAACUAUACCAGUGGUGGAACAGUUGAACAGAUUGUGUACCUUGUUCAUUGUGGCAUAAUAGAGCCAUUGAUGAACCUCUUAACUGCAAAAGAUACCAAGAUUAUUCUGGUUAUCCUGGAUGCCAUUUCAAAUAUCUUUCAGACUGCUGAGAAACUAGGUGAAACUGAGAAACUUAGUAUAAUGAUUGAAGAAUGUGGAGGCUUAGACAAAAUUGAAGCUCUACAAAACCAUGAAAAUGAGUCUUUGUAUAAGGCUUCGUUAAGCUUAAUUGAGAAGUAUUUCUCUGUAGAGCUGCCAGAGCAGAGCUGAGCCACCCAUUGCUGGAGAGGACAUCCACGCAGGCCUGGACGAGCCAGACUGCCUUACUAAGGAUUUCCUCCAUAUCUGACUGCAACUCAGCACUCAGCCGCAUGCGGGACAGGAAGAGGAAGAUCAAAACGUUGUGCCAGAAACUACCUCUGAAGGCUACACCUUCCAAGUUCAGGAUGGGGAUCCUGGGACCUUUAACUUUUAGAUCAUGUAGCUGAGGCGUAAAUUUGUUGUGUACUAUGUUUGGUAUUUUGUCUUAUUGUUUCUCUACUAAGAACUCUUUUUUAAAUGUGGUUUGUUACUGCAGCACUUUUUACACUGAAACUAUACUUGAACAGUUCCAACUGUACGUACUGUAUGAAGCUUGUCCUCUGACCAGGUUUCUUAUUUCUAUGUGGAAUUUCCUGUCUUGCAGCAUCCUGUAAAUAAACCUUCAAGUCCACCCUUUUCUUGACUUC
rnacentral:sRNA from 1 species